rnacentral:lncRNA from 1 species
GAUCGAUAAGUUCAAAGUUUGGCCGGAGCUUUCGAGGCAUUUUCCGGCGAAUCCCCGGCGAGUUAGGCGUCGAGGUAGGUAUCAAUCUCUUCGUCUCGUCAAGUACUACAACUUUCCUUUUUGUUUCACUCAAUUUCGUUGAGUAUUGAAGAAGUUAUACUCAUUUGAAAAAUACCCAGUUUCCGGCGACCUCCGAGGCUUUCGAGGCAGUUUCCGGCCAAACUACGGCGAACUAGGUGUUGGGAAAGGUACCAUUCUCUUUGUCUCUUCAAGGGCUACAACUUUCGUUUUUGAAUCACUUGAUUUCGUUGAGAAAUGACAAAGUUAUGGUAAUUUGAAAAACUGCCCAGAAAACGGCCGCCGGAAAAACCAGUCCGGCGACCCAAGGAAGAAGAAGGUGCUACAGUAAAAAAUAAAAAUAAAAAUAAAAUUAUUUUAAAAAUAUGUCGACGUCCGUGACGUCGAGUAGAUCACCGUGGUAUAUUCAUAUACCCAAAUUGAACACCGUAUGAGAAAGUUAUUGAAGAUUGUUGGUUAGGUGUUCAAAUAACGUUUUAUAGUUUUCACAUUUAGGUGAAAAUGUGAAUUGAUGAUCCGACCGUUGGAUCGUCACCAAACUUUGAUACGUUGUAAUACGUAAUAUUUGAGGAUUAUUGGAACUUACGGAUUGGGAAUCCGAGUUACGGAUCUUCCGGAAUUGGAAUUGUAAGUCCAUAAUAUAAAAUGUUAACCGUCACUUAGUUUUGGAAAUUGACGGAGAUCCGACCGUUGGAUGGUAAUGAAAUUUUAGGAUGUUGUCCUAGAGGUAUAAUGUGGACCUCUGGAAGUUAUGGAUUUAAAAUCUGAGUGGCAGAUCUUCCGGAUCGAUCUACGUAGUGACGUAUUUUAUAUAAGUUAUAUAUUCUAUCGAUAUGAAUUCUGAGGUUGGAUUUGAUUACUGUUCUAGGCGGCGAUCGUCAUGACGCCUUGAUGUGUGGUGCUAGGGAGUUGUUGGACGAACUCCAGGUGAGUGGGCAGUUUUGUUUUCCGUAUACAUAUAUAAUUGACGUUUCCCAGAAAUUGAAAAUGUUACGAAAGUAUGCUUUAAAUGCAAAGUAUAAAAGUAUGUUUUCAAAUGCCAUGAGUAGAUUAUAUGAAAGAUAUGAUUUGAGAUAUAUUAGUUGAAAUACCAUGCUUAGAAGUAUGUGAAAAGUAUAUAGAAAUGUGAAUCGAAAUGCCAUGCAUGAAAUGAUAUGAAAAGUAUGAAUUGAGAUAUGAUGCAUAUGUAUGAAUUGGUGCUGUGGACGCACAGGUGAGUAUCAGGUGAGUAUAUUACUGCUAUGAUGAUGUUGAGAUAUAUUGAGCUCAUAACCUGCACCUUGGUAUUAGUGCUUAUUAUUAUUCACCGCAUCGCAUGCUCACCUUGGAUCCAAGUAGAUGCUAGUCGUACAGACCACCGGGGGUGGUUCCGACAUGCCAGUCGUACAGACCAUUAGAGGGGUUCCGACUGGUAGGUGACCUUAGAUUAUGUGCACAGAUGAUUGAUGAGAAAAGCACUAGAGCAUAUUAUUACACCAUUAAGUCGUACAGAUUACAUUAGGUAAUUCCGACUUAUGUGCAGUGUAGUGCCGUACAGGUCAUACUAGGUGACUCCGGCAUGGCCGAACAGGUCACAGUUGGUGACUCCGGUUAUAUGAGAUUUUGAGCUCUACAUUCAGCCGUACAGGACCAUUGUAGGGUCUCCGGUUGAUUUCUUUCUUGCACCUGAUAUGAUUAUUGCUGAUGCAUUCAUACUUAACUGUUGAAUUUAGACAUGGCAUGGCAUGAUUGAUAAAGAUAAAUGUUGAGAUAGUAAAAAUGAAGUUUUGAUAAUAUAUAUGUAUAUUUAUAUUUUACAUUUCUGGGAAAGUAUACAGGUUUUACGGAGAGGGGUUACAACGUUUUGAGAAAUGUUUGGAUUUGGAAAAGAAUUGUUUUACUGACCCACUCAAUUUUGGUUUUGCGCCCCUCCAGGUUCAUGAAUCACAAAGGUGUGGUGACUACGAGGAAUUCGACGGUGUUCUGACAGAUUGGACAAAAUUAGGACUCACUUUCGGGUGUAUCAACUUAGGAAUUGUAUCUUAAAGCUUCCGUACUGUGCAAAUGGUUACGUCACUCUCACGUGACGGCCAGCAUGCCCUCCUUCGGGACGGGGUGUGUCAGUUGGUAUCAGAGCAUGGUUGCAAUCUUGGACAUUUUGAGAAGUUCUAGUGAAUUCUGUCAGAACUACACCGCCUCGUAGCAAGCCACUUAGUUAGAGGAAUUUAGUCUCCCUAAUAUAACGGUUUAGGGGAAACUAUUAUUAUGGUGAUUCAGUCUAUUAUAAAAAGGGACAUUUUAAGAUGGGUUAUGAGUUGAAUUUGAAUCACUUAAGAGAAAUGAUGAACCUGAGGGAGCGAAGUAACGGUUUAACCAUUUGGAAAAGAUGUUUCGGAUUAUGCAAGUCAAAGGAAUCUUCCUUCUGACAAGGGGUCGAGAUGACUACCUGGUUUGAGUUAUGAACGUGUAUCCUGAUGGAAGCAGGAGUAUUAAUUGUUGUCAUCGGAGGAACAGCCGAUUUAAAAUUGUUUAAGGACUUGUUUAAGGAAAAGUUUAUCCCUCCGGCAUUUAUCGAUGGUAGUAAACAAGAGUUUACAAAUAUGAGACAAGGAAGGUGAUGAUCGAGGGAUAUUAUAGAAAGUUUUCAGACUUGCCUUGUUCCAUCCAGAUAUUGUUGUUAUUGGUGGAGGUGUUAUGUUGUUUUAAGCUGGGUGGCAAAAAGGGAAGUGGUAUUUUGGGUGACCACUAUCCAUUGUAGUUCUUAUCAGGAGUAUGCUAGAUGUUGUUGAGUCUUGAGGACUCUGAGAACAUGAGCAACGAGAAUAAAGAAGAAUAAGAAAUGAAUGGGAAUUUAAAGAAGACGAUAAAGUUAAUGAUUCGUCAUAUCAAGGAGAUAGAAAGAUUCAGAGCUUCGAAAGAAGUGAAGCUAGAGUUAAUUCUUCCAGCUGAGGUUUUAAUGUCGCUGGUCAGAGUAAAAGUGAUGGAUAUACUGGUAAUCCCAGAUAUUUGAGACAAGGUGUCUCGAGUAAAGGAAAUGUACUUUGUGCAGCAGGUACAAAAUUAACACUUUGGGAAAUGUGAAAUUAAUGAAUGUGUUUAUGUAAACAGAGGGGACACAUAAUUGUGAAUCGUCCCUAAAAUCAGUUGUACUCAACAAUUUUCCAUGAUAUCAUAGUGUCAAUUCAGCAGAGUUAUGGACUUAGUAGUUUGGUUGGAUUGACCAUGAGUACCGAGAGAUUUGAUGAGUUAUAUGUUCAGCCGUACAGGCCAAAAGAGGUGGAUCCGGCUGACACAUGAGAAAUUGGUGAGUUAUAGGCUCGGCUGUACGGACCACAAGAUGUGGAUCCGGCCGACGUAUUUACUGGGGAAUUGAUGUGUAAGUCGUACAGGUCACUAUAAGUGACUCCGACUAAUGUGCUAGCAUAGAUGGUUGAGCUGGAGAAUCAGCCGUACAGGUCAUUCUAGUUGACUCCGGCUGAUAUAUUUCUGAGUAUGGACAAUGAUGCCAAAGAAAGUAAUGUUGGAACGUGAUAGAGGCGUAUAUGUGUAUUCUAAUGAAAAAAAAAAAUGAUAGUAUUACACCUUUGGGAAUUGUUGCUUACUUAUCGAGACAACGAUGAUUUAUCAGUAUUGCGGGCUGCAGACCGUAAUAUUAAUAACUCAUUCGUGGAUUCGUUAAGCAAGCAAACCGGUAUUUUAUUUUAUGUUAGUGUUGUACUUAUUUAGAAUGUUCAGUAAUAAUAAAGUAUGUAUUGGGUCAGUUAAUUUUAUUCCAUUAGAUUGAUUAUUUAUAGUUGUGACUAGAUGGAAUAUUACGGGAAACCAGUUACUUUCCAUCGAUCUGGAUGACCAGAGAUUACUUUUGUAAGUAUGCAAAAUGGAUUGAGUCAGGCCGUUAUUUAUGCUGUGAGAGCAAAGAGAUUGUUUUCGAAAGGCUGUCAAAAAUACUUAGCUCAUGUGGUGCUAAAUGAUGUUGUUUGGAGUAGUGUGAAUAAUGUCGAAAGAGUUAGACUUUUCUUGAUGUCUUCUCUGAAAGUAUACCUGGAUUGUCUUCAGGCAGAGAUAUGAGGUUCAUUAUUGAUUUGUUGCCAGGUAUAAAUUUAUGUUAAAGAUUGGUUCAUGAUGAGUUAAGGGAAUUGGAAAUUCAGUUGAGAGAAUUGGUUGAUAAAAGUUUUAUUCAACCUAGUACAACACUGUUGAGGAGCACCAGUUUGUUGGUGAGAAAGGAAAUGGACUUAGAGAUUGUUCAUUGAUUAUAGAUAAUGGAAUCGGGUAACGAAUGAGAACCGUUAUCCAUUGUGGUGUAUUGACGCUCAUUUGAUCAGUUCAAAGGUGCUUGUAUAUUUUCAAAGAUUGACUUGAAUACUGUUUAUUAUCAAUUGAAGAUUAUGAGUUAUUGGAUGAAGUAUUCCAAUAAUGCCUUGAUAAAUAGAUAUCAUUUUCAUUGAAGAUAUUCUGGCAUAUUCUGAGCCAGAGCAGAACAUGUAAACGUAUUAAGUCGGUGGAACAAAGAUUGGAAGAAUGUCGGUUGUAUGCUAAGUAGCAAAUGCUAAAGUUAGAUGAAUCAUGUGGCAUUCUGAGAAUUGUUAUAUAUUCUUAAGGUAUUCAAGUGAAUCCUUAAAAGAUAGCAGAAAUUGAGAAAUUGGAACAACCACAAGCCAUAAUUGAGAUUCGGAAAUUCUUAACUUAUCAGGCUAUUUUGGAUGGUUGUGAAAGAAUUUUUAGUCAUUGUUUUGUCAUUGAUGAGACUGUUGAGAAAGGAGGUUAUGUAUGAGUGGGAAGGAAAUUGUGAGCAAAGGAUUCAACAACUGAAGUAUUUCCUCACUCAUGCACGUAUUUUAGUAAUCCCAAAGAAUAAUGGUAAUCAUAAAUUUUUAGUGAUGUUUCUUGAAUGGUAUUGGAUGCAUGUUGAUGCAAAUGUUAGGGUGAUUGCAUACGUUUCACGACAAAUGGAAUCUCAUGAGAUGAAUUACCCUACUGGUGAUUUGGAAGUCACGAUUACCAUCCUUGCUGUGAAGUUAUGGAGACAUUCUAUGUUGAUAAGAAUGCAAGAUUUUACAAAUCAAAAGAGUCUCCAAUAUUUGUUUACUUGGAAGGAUUUUGAUAGGAGGCAGCGAAUGUGAAUUGUAUUGCUUAAUGAACAUGAUUGUACGAUCAGGGUGAUCGUAAAGUUUGUUCUAACUGAAGCACUUGGUGAGAAGACUACAAUAAGAUUAAUGUCUGGCACGUUUGCCAAGAGUAUCAUCUUGUGGAUUGAAACCAACGGAAGAAAAAUUAAGAAUGGAAGAUCGAGAAGAAGUUAUACUUGUUAAAUUUCAAGUUAGGCCUGUUUGGUAAGGUCGUACUUGAAACUUAAAUGCUUGACGAAGAAAUUUAAGAAUUAACCAAGGUAGAGAAAGAAGGUAAGUUAAAUCCUAAGUUAAUCGGACUUAAGUGAUUAUCGAAAAGUUGGUGAAGUUGCUUACAAGCUUGUGAUGCCCUCAGAAUUGGUUAAGGUGCAAAACAUAUUUUAUGAUUCGAUGCGUUGUCACUAGGUGGCAGAUUCGUCACAUAAGAUUCUGGUGUAACUAUUGAGAAUUAAAUUGGAUUCGACUUGAUAAGGAACCAAGGACGACUUUGGAUUGGAAAAAGAAGGUCCUGAGAAAUUAAGACAGAGUAAGUAGUAGUAAAAGCUUUGUGAAGGAAAUCAUUCAGUAGAAAAGUAUGUGGGAGAAAGAGAAUCGGAUGAGAAAGAUUUACCCGAAGCUAUUGUUGGAGUAUGGUUUGAUUUUAGUUGGUUGCUGGAAUUUCGGGGACGAAAUUCUAUAAGGAGGGAAGAUUGUCACAGCCCGUCCCGGAAUUUUAAUUCCGAGGACAUGAAAAGACGAAAAUGCCCUUAAACGGGACUAAGGGGCGAAAAUUUAACAAUUUGGAUUGAGUUGGACACGUGGGAUCCCCACACCCCUCAAUCCUCUCCCUAUUUUCUGCAUACUGUCUCUCUCUCCUCCCUCACGAAUCUCUCUCUCUCUGUCACUCUUCUUCUCCGUUCGAACAAACCAACCACAAAACAACCUUAAACUUCCACCAACGACGGAGUUAAGACUACCAUCGAACUCCUGGAGACUCCACGAUCACGUAGACACCAAUUUCAGGUAAGUUUUACUUCGGAAAACCUAGAUUCUAAACUCCCCGUGAAAGUGCACUGUUCAUGAUCUUCGAAUUGACUUUGUUUUAGGACAAUCCAAGCUCACAGUGAGCUUAGUGAGGUUCCAAGGAAGCUCGGAGUGCUUCGUUGGAAGUUUUUGGACGUAAGAACACGGAGAUCGAUAAGUUCAAAGUUUGGCCGGAGCUUUCGAGGCAUUUUCCGGCGAAUCCCCGGCGAGUUAGGCGUCGAGGUAGGUAUCAAUCUCUUUCGUCUCGUCAAGUACUACAAACUUUCCUUUUUGUUUCACUCAAUUUCGUUGAGUAUUGAAGAAGUUAUACUCAUUUGAAAAAUACCCAGUUUCCGGCGACCUCCGAGGCUUUCGAGGCAGUUUCCGGCCAAACUACGGCGAACUAGGUGUUGGGAAAGGUACCAUUCUCUUUGUCUCUUCAAGGGCUACAACUUUCGUUUUUGAAUCACUUGAUUUCGUUGAGAAAUGACAAAGUUAUGGUAAUUUGAAAAACUGCCCAGAAAACGGCCGCCGGAAAAACCAGUCCGGCGACCCAAGGAAGAAGAAGGUGCUACAGUAAAAAAAUAAAUAAAAAUAAAAUUAUUUUAAAAAUAUGUCGACGUCCGUGACGUCGAGUAGAUCACCGUGGUAUAUUCAUAUACCCAAAUUGAACACCGUAUGAGAAAGUUAUUGAAGAUUGUUGGUUAGGUGUUCAAAUAACGUUUUUAUAGUUUUCACAUUUAGGUGAAAAUGUGAAUUGAUGAUCCGACCGUUGGAUCGUCACCAAACUUUGAUACGUUGUAAUACGUAAUAUUUGAGGAUUAUUGGAACUUACGGAUUGGGAAUCCGAGUUACGGAUCUUCCGGAAUUGGAAUUUGUAAGUCCAUAAUAUAAAAUGUUAACCGUCACUUAGUUUUGGAAAUUGACGGAGAUCCGACCGUUGGAUGGUAAUGAAAUUUUAGGAUGUUGUCCUAGAGGUAUAAUGUGGACCUCUGGAAGUUAUGGAUUUAAAAUCUGAGUGGCAGAUCUUCCGGAUCGAUCUACGUAGUGACGUAUUUUAUAUAAGUUAUAUAUUCUAUCGAUAUGAAUUCUGAGGUUGGAUUUGAUUACUGUUCUAGGCGGCGAUCGUCAUGACGCCUUGAUGUGUGGUGCUAGGGAGUUGUUGGACGAACUCCAGGUGAGUGGGCAGUUUUGUUUUCCGUAUAUACAUAUAUAAUUGACGUUUCCCAGAAAUUGAAAAUGUUACGAAAGUAUGCUUUAAAUGCAAAGUAUAAAAAAGUAUGUUUUCAAAUGCCAUGAGUAGAUUAUAUGAAAGAUAUGAUUUGAGAUAUAUUAGUUGAAAUACCAUGCUUAGAAGUAUGUGAAAAGUAUAUAGAAAUGUGAAUCGAAAUGCCAUGCAUGAAAUGAUAUGAAAAGUAUGAAUUGAGAUAUGAUGCAUAUGUAUGAAUUGGUGCUGUGGACGCACAGGUGAGUAUCAGGUGAGUAUAUUACUGCUAUGAUGAUGUUGAGAGAUAUAUUGAGCUCAUAACCUGCACCUUGGUAUUAGUGCUUAUUAUUAUUCACCGCAUCGCAUGCUCACCUUGGAUCCAAGUAGAUGCUAGUCGUACAGACCACCGGGGGUGGUUCCGACAUGCCAGUCGUACAGACCAUUAGAGGGGUUCCGACUGGUAGGUGACCUUAGAUUAUGUGCACAGAUGAUUGAUGAGAAAAAGCACUAGAGCAUAUUAUUACACCAUUAAGUCGUACAGAUUACAUUAGGUAAUUCCGACUUAUGUGCAGUGUAGUGCCGUACAGGUCAUACUAGGUGACUCCGGCAUGGCCGAACAGGUCACAGUUGGUGACUCCGGUUAUAUGAGAUUUUGAGCUCUACAUUCAGCCGUACAGGACCAUUGUAGGGUCUCCGGUUGAUUUCUUUCUUGCACCUGAUAUGAUUAUUGCUGAUGCAUUCAUACUUAACUGUUGAAUUUAGACAUGGCAUGGCAUGAUUGAUAAAGAUAAAUGUUGAGAUAGUAAAAAUGAAGUUUUGAUAAUAUAUAUGUAUAUUUAUAUUUUACAUUUCUGGGAAAGUAUACAGGUUUUACGGAGAGGGGUUACAACGUUUUGAGAAAUGUUUGGAUUUGGAAAAGAAUUGUUUUACUGACCCACUCAAUUUUGGUUUUGCGCCCCUCCAGGUUCAUGAAUCACAAAGGUGUGGUGACUACGAGGAAUUCGACGGUGUUCUGACAGAUUGGACAAAAUUAGGACUCACUUUCGGGUGUAUCAACUUAGGAAUUGUAUCUUAAAGCUUCCGUACUGUGCAAAUGGUUACGUCACUCUCACGUGACGGCCAGCAUGCCCUCCUUCGGGACGGGGUGUGUCACAAAUAAUUCAAAACCUGUCUCUAACUCUCUGAUCCAAUGAUCCAAAUAAUUAAGUAAUGUUAACAAUUACAUGUUAAUUUUUUUUAAGUAAUUAAGUAAUGUUAACAAUCACCAUGUUUUAUAUUAGGAUUAUUUUAUUAUCAAAUUGGAUUAUUCAUUAAAUUGGAUUAUUAUCAAAUUUGAUUAUUAUUCAUCACCAUGUUUUAUAUUAGGAUUAUUUUUUUAUGAAAUUGGAUUAUUAUUCAUUAAAUUAGAUUAUUAUUCAUUAAAUUGGAUUAUUAUCAAAUUGGAUUAUUAUUCAUCACCAUGUUUUAUAUUAGGAUUAUUUUUUUAUGAAAUUGGAUUAUUCAUUAAAUUGGAUUAUUAUCAAAUUGGAUUAUUAUUCAUCACCAUGUUUUAUAUUAGGAUUAUUGUACUAAUUCAUUAUAUAUAAAUUAUUAUGAUGUGUUUAGACUUCUUUCAUUAAUUACUACAUAUUUUCUACAUUCACAAUGUUUGUCAGCUAGCUAUAUAAUCAACUUGAUAAUGCUAAAUCCAUCAUGCAAUGCAUUUCUUUCCAAUUUUUUGUGAUAAACUAAUAGAUAAUUGACUAAAU